rfam:Gossypium raimondii Chr09_contig_253, whole genome shotgun sequence.
GGGGGUGUAGCUCAGAUGGUGAUGCGCUCGCUUCGCAUGUGAGAGGUACGGGGAUCGAUGCCCUGCAUCUCCA